rnacentral:rRNA from 1 species
UAGGGAAUCUUCGGCAAUGGGGGGAACCCUGACCGAGCAACGCCGCGUGAGUGAAGAAGGUUUUCUGAUCGUAAAGCUCUGUUGUUAAGGAAGAACGAUUGUGAGAAUGGAAAGUUCAUACUGUGACGGUACUUAACCAGAAAGGGACGGCUAACUACGUGCCGGCAGCCGCGGUAAUACGUAGGUCCCGAGCGUUGUCCGGAUGUAUGGGGCGUAAAGCGAGCGCAGGCGGUUAGAAAAGUCUGAAGUGAAAGGCAGUGGCUCAACCAUUGUAGGCGUUGGAAACUGUUUAACUUGAGUGCAGAAGGGGAGAGGGGAAUUCCAGGUGUAGCGGUGAAAUGCGUAGAUAUAUGGAGGAACACCGGUGGCGAAAGCGGCUCUCUGGUCUGUAACUGACGCUGAGGCUCGAAAGCGUGGGGAGCGAACAGG